rnacentral:lncRNA from 1 species
GGUGCUAGUAUUGCAGCUACCGCUUGUGAUAGUGAAUGUGUAGGAGAAAGGUAAAGGCAUAGAUGUGUUGAAGGCAUCCAUGAGAAACUGAUUUGUUUUUGAUUGGAUGCAACAGCGGAAACUAGUCCGUUCUUUUGUUUUUUCUCUGCAGAAAUAGAACAGAGAUUAGGAUUUAGAUGUUUUCAUGAAGAAAGGGUUUGUAUUCUGUCGUUGUACAUUGUUCUUUCAACUUUCAAUCGAGUUAAAAAGGAGGCUUGAGUUUUCUAUUUCUAGAACAGUUAAGUAGGAAAAUGUGGUUGAUUUUGAGGCGAAUGGAAAAGAUGGGUUUCCAGGAGAAAGCAAGCAGCUGCUUCUUAAAGCUUACUAGGGAGAGGAUUGUUUACUCCAUUUGAGCCUUGAAGUGUUAAAU